rnacentral:rRNA from 1 species
GGGUUCGACCAUACUAGCACUAACGCACCGGAUCCCAUCAGAACUCCGAAGUUAAACGUGCUUGGGCGAGAGUAGUACUAGGAUGGGUGACCCCCUGGGAAGUCCUCGUGUUGCACCCNNNN